UCAUAGACGUUAAUUUAAAAUACUGAAUUACUAUAAGUUAUGGCCUUUAAAUUUAAAGAAUGUGGCGGUAUUUUAGUCUAUUCAGAGGAACCUGUCCUGUAAUUGAUGAUCCACGAUUAAUAGCACCUAUAUUUUUAAUUUGUAUAUCGUCGUAGUUUAAAUAUUUUAAGAGAAAGAAAAUGUUUAAAAUUUUUUAUAUAAAAAAGGAAAUCAGAUCAAGAUGCAGUUUAUAUAUUGGUAGAGAUGGGUUACAAUAAAUUUAUUUAUGGAUAAGUAAAUGAAAAUUUCUUAAAAAAUGGAUUUGAAAGUAAUUUUAUACAUAUAUUUAAAAUGAUUUUAGCUCUAAAAUAUG
rnacentral:rRNA from 1 species